rnacentral:rRNA from 1 species
AGAGUUUGAUCAUGGCUCAGAUUGAACGCUGGCGGAAUGCUUUACACAUGCAAGUCGAACGGCAGCAUAGGUGCUUGCACCUGAUGGCGAGUGGCGAACGGGUGAGUAAUACAUCGGAACGUGCCCAGUCGUGGGGGAUAACGUAGCGAAAGUUACGCUAAUACCGCAUACGAUCUACGGAUGAAAGCGGGGGACCGUAAGGCCUCGCGCGAUUGGAGCGGCCGAUGUUAGAUUAGGUAGUUGGUGGGGUAAAGGCUCACCAAGCCGACGAUCUAUAGCUGGUCUGAGAGGAUGAUCAGCCACACUGGGACUGAGACACGGCCCAGACUCCUACGGGAGGCAGCAGUGGGGAAUUUUGGACAAUGGGCGCAAGCCUGAUCCAGCCAUUCCGCGUGCAGGACGAAGGCCUUCGGGUUGUAAACUGCUUUUGUACAGAACGAAAAGCCUUGGGUUAAUACCCUGAGGUCAUGACGGUACUGUAAGAAUAAGCACCGGCUAACUACGUGCCAGCAGCCGCGGUAAU